UUGGGAAAGAUUUUGAUUCUUUUGUUUGGGGGGUUGGAGAAGCUGUCACGGUCUGCUUCUUUAAGUGGUUUGAUAUGGAUUGUUGUCUCCGAGCCAUCACUGGGAAACUAGUUUUUCCAGAAAAUCUGCUGCGUGCAGUCCAAAUCCCUGCGGGACGGUUCUCCGGCUCGGAUGCUGCUCUUUCUGCUCCAAGAUCAGUCACUGCCUCCCGGGGACUUCUCCUACCGGCUGCGUCCCACGCCGCCCGUGGAACCGGCUGGUCCCCCUCCCGGGGUUAGUUCAGGGGGGUGGAGCAGGUCUCUGUGCUUGUGCCGUACCUGACUGGUACUCUGGCUCCAGGCUCUGGAAACUAUCGCUGCUUCCCCGUAUUAGUUCGUUCUCCGUCUCUAAAUCUGUGUUUGUUGUUCAGGGUUCGUAGAUUGUUAUGUAUGUGAUCGAUUCACUUGUUUUUCCGUGUCUUUGUUGUAAGAGGGAUCCGAGGUAACGUCUGCCUAGUCCCCCAUCUUGGCUCCGCCCCUUUAAUUCUUAUUUACACAUAUCACAAAGGUAGUUGUCACACCUGACUCACAAAUUUCAUUGUUGUCCCUUUUGGCAUAACUUUCCUAAUCUAGCAUUUUUUUUUUCUUUUUUUAACCUUUCUCCUCUCAACUCAGAUUUUCCUACAAACUUUCACGCAAAAAGUGUUUUGUUAUUGUAGUAACAGUAGUACACUAAUACUGAGGGCCAUAUGAAUGUUCACCUUUUAAUAAUUUGCUUUAACUGUUUUCCUGUCUUAAAAUAUAGGAAAAAGAAGAAUGAUCCCAGUCCUGCUUUCAAAAAUUGUGUUUCUUUGCUCCUCUUAAGUUCACUUUUGCUUCAGAGCAUGAGUCCUGACUGGAGUUGAAGAGUGUGGUCACCAAACCUAUCAGAAGUAAAGUGGCAGAGCAGCCUUAGAGCUCAGGCAGAGGGUAGGGGUCUGAGACAGUCUCACCUGGGCCAUCUGCUCUCCAUGAGGAGUGAAGAUGGGGCAGGGCAGGCAGGGGAAGUUGCUGUUGUUAGCUGCGAUCUAGUAGGCUGCUGACUCGUGGCAACCCCGUGCACAACAGAAUGAAGUGCUCUGGUGCCAUCCCCAUGGUUGCGGGUCAAACCAUGGUGACCAAUAAAGUUUUUACUGGCUGAUUUUCACAAGUAGGUCACCAGGCCUUUCUUCCUAUUCCAUCUUAGUGUGGAAGAGAAGUAGACCGCCAGGCCUUUCCUCCUAUUCUGUCUUAGUGUGGAAGAGAAGUAGACCGCCAGGCCUUUCCUCCUGUUCUGUCUCAGUGUGGAAGAGAAGUAGACCGCCAGGCCUUUCUUCCUGUUCCGUCUCAAUGUGGAAGAGAAGUAGACCGCCAGGCCUUUCUUCCUAUUCCGUCUCAAUGUGGAAGAGAAGUAGACCGCCAGGCCUUUCCUCCUAUUCCGUCUCAGUGUGGAAGAGAAGUAGACCGCCAGGCCUUUCUUCCUAUUCCGUCUUAGUGUGAAAGAGAAGUAGACCGCCAGGCCUUUCUUCCUAUUCCGUCUUAAUGUGGAAGAGAAGUAGACUACCAGGCCUUUCCUCCUGUUCCGUCUUAGUGUGGAAGAGAAGUAGACCGCCAGGCCUUUCUUCCUAUUCCGUCUUAGUGUGAAAGAGAAUAGACUGCCAGGCCUUUCUUCCUAUUCCGUCUUAAUGUGGAAGAGAAGUAGACCAGCAGGCCUUUCCUCCUGUUCCGUCUUAGUGUGGAAGAGAAGUAGACCGCCAGGCCUUUCUUCCUGUUCUGUCUUAGUGUGGAAGAGAAGUAGACCGCCAGGCCUUUCCUCCUAUUCCGUCUUAGUGUGGAAGAGAAGUAGACCAGCAGGCCUUUCCUCCUAUUCCGUCUUAGUGUGGAAGAGAAGUAGACCGCCGGGCCUUUCUUCCUGUUCCAUCUCAGUGUGGAAGAGAAGUAGACCGCCAGGCCUUUCCUCCUAUUCCGUCUGAGGGUGGAAGAGAAGUAGACUGCCAGGCCUUUCCUCCUAUUCCGUCUCAGUGUGGAAGAGAAGUAGACCGCCAGGCCUUUCCUCCUAUUCCGUCUCAGUGUGGAAGAGAAGUAGACCGCCAGGCCUUUCCUCCUGUUCCGUCUCAGUGUGGAAGAGAAGUAGACCGCCAGGCCUCUCUUCCUGUUCCGUCUCAGUGUAGAAGAGAAGUAGACCGCCAGGCCUCUCUUCCUAUUCCGUCUCAGUGUGGAAGAGGAGUAGACCGCCAGGCCUUUCUUCCUGUUCCGUCUCAGUGUGGAAGAGGAGUAGACCGCCAGGCCUUUCUUCCUGUUCCGUCUCAGUGUGGAAGAGAAGUAGACCGCCAGGCCUUUCCUCCUGUUCCGUCUCAGUGUGGAAGAGAAGUAGACCGCCAGGCCUCUCUUCCUGUUCCGUCUCAGUGUAGAAGAGAAGUAGACCGCCAGGCCUCUCUUCCUAUUCCGUCUCAGUGUGGAAGAGGAGUAGACCGCCAGGCCUUUCUUCCUGUUCCGUCUCAGUGUGGAAGAGGAGUAGACCGCCAGGCCUUUCUUCCUGUUCCGUCUCAGUGUGGAAGAGGAGUAGACCGCCAGGCCUUUCUUCCUAUUUCGUCUCAGUGUGGAAGAGAAGUAGAUCGCCAGGCCUUUCUUCCUAUUCCGUCUUAGUGUGGAAGCUCUGCUGAAACCUGUGCAGCAGCAUCAUACCAACAUGGAAGCCUCCACGGACAGUCCGGUGGUGGCUGUGCCUGAGGUUCACUGACCAGGAAUCAAACCUGGAUUUCCCACAUGGAAGGAGAGGAUUCUACCACUGAGCCACCACUGCCCCCGUGGGGAGGGGGUGAGAGAGGCAACUCAACUCACAUGCUGGGCUAGUCAUUUCUUGAGGACAAAGACUACAUCUAGUUAACACAUUCUUAACAGAGCCCAGACUGAUGCCACAUUAAUGACUCUGGGGCUCUCUCCUCUUGUGCUUUUCCAGGGCACGUUCUGGGGUUCACUCCUGGAACAGGUAAAAGGUGGGGACAGUUCUGGUGAAGUGAGGCCAGUGCUGCAGAGAAGGAAAGGAGGUCUGGUGUGGAGAUGCAGCUUUAAUGUGUGCUUUGCCAAGUAAUGAGAAGACCCACACUGUCAAGGUCACAAACUGAAUUGCUUUCCUAAAAAAAAGAAGGAAGAUAAACAGUUUAUUUUGGAUUCCAACUCAUGGCAACCCCGUGUGUGUCAGAGAAGAACUGUGCUCCACAGAGUUUUCAGUGGCUGAUUUUUUAAAGUGGAUUGCCAGGUCUCCAGGUGGACUUGAACCUCCAACCUUUUGGUUAGCAGCUGAGCACAUUAACGUUUGCACUACCCAGGAAGUCUGAGCAUCGGCUUUGAAGGAUUAAAAUGAAAUUUCAGAGGUAAAUCAAUUGGAGAGUUUGCGAUCAUCCAUGCCAUGGUCACUCCUCCUCCCCUUUUCCUAUCUGGUAAGGGGUGCACCUCGGGAACCCCCUUUGACCUUGGCUGAAGACACUGACUGGCUACCUGAGAAGAGUUCACUCUUCCCCAAGUGUGUUACUGCCUGGAGGUGACCUUUACUGGGAGCAGGGAAAGGGUUCUAGGAGGGACUACGCCCAGCUCACUUCUUCUGCUGAUAUUUUGAGUCCACUCGCUGGAAGCUGGCCUCUCUCCCGGUCCCUCUAAUGAUUAUGUCAGGUGUCUGGGAACGCUGCUCCACAGUGGCCAGGAGAAGACAGGAGAACGGAGCCUGUCCAGGACAACUUCGAUAUCCAAAGAGACUUUGGAAUUAGAGUGAUUUUAUCUCAUUAGUCAAGGAGUCCUGGGGGCACAAUGGUUAAGCACCUGGCUGCUAACCGAAAGGUCAUCAGUUUGAGUCUGCCAGCCGCUCCGCAGGAGAGAAGUCCUGGCAAUCUGCUCCUGCAAAGAUUACAAUCUAGGAAACCUUAUGGGGCAGUUCUACUCUGUCAUAUGGGGUCACUAUAAGUAGGGAUCAACUCAACGGCACACAGCAACAAUAUCUGAUUAGUCCUCAUUCUACCCCCAGAGGAGGGUUAGCUAAAGUGGCAGAUUGUGUCAUUAUGGAAAUAAGCACAAGAACCUUCUCGGGGACCGUGGAAAAGCUCAGGUUUUAGUUACUAUAGGUCAUCAGAGCUGGGUGUGGCUUGGGAGGAUACUGCCCGGGGACUGCAGAGAGCAGUUUUGGGGGAAAUGUUUGCCUAGCAAUUUUCCUUCAAUGUACAACAAAUGAACUUGAUUGUGCUGUAACUAUGGGUCCUUCCUCCCACCUCCCCUCUUGUUCAAUCGCCACCUUACGCACGCCUUGCAUACUCACAUCCAGACAUCCAGAAAUGCUUGCCUUAUCUCACUUGCUGCUCAGUAUUUGGCACAUUUCACCACUCACUCCAUCUGGGAGCCCUCUCCCACUGGUUUGGGUGCCACCCCUCUCUCCUGACCCUGAGCCUUUGCUCCAUCCUGGAUUCCUUCGGUGCUUCUUUUCUUCUUUCUGGCCCUUAAGUUCUGCGAUUUGAUCCAGAGCUCCUUCCUUGCCUCUCCUGGGGCAAUAUUUUUCUUUACUUCCUCUUUAAUCUACUCUGUUUAAUCUCUGUUCUUCCUUCGACCACAUCUUAGUGUUCCCCAAACUCCAACCCUUACCCAAGGACCCCCUGUUUUUCAGGAAUGAAUCCAUGCAAUUUCUCCUAUGAGAAUGUAAUUUGCUAAGUCAUUCCUCCAGCUUGUACUAAGUAGCCAUCACAAGAGACUACUAUACCAAGUCUGUGGGGAAAAUAGUAGAAGACAUGCAUCCCCUGGGGGAGAUUAUAAUCUAUUAGAGACAGACACACAGGGACUAGAAUGGGGAAAGAAACAGUUUAUGUGGACUUACCUGUACCAGUACCAAUUGCGUUGAGUUGACUCCGACUCAUGAUAAUCCCCAUGUGUGCCAGAGUAGAACUGUGCUCCAUUGGGUUUUUAAUGGCUGAUUUUUUGAAAGUAUAUGGUCAGGCCUUUCUUCUGAGGCACCUCUGGGUGGACUCGAACCUCCAACCUUUUAGUGAGCAUCCCAGCAUAUUAACCAUUUGCAUCACCCAGGGACUCCAGAUUUACAAAUAGCACCCGUUAUAUAUUACUAAAGGCCUUCAGUGGUGGAAACGGUUUGCACUUGACUACUAACCUAAAGAUUGGGGGUUCGAACCCACCCAACAAUGUCACAGAAGAAAGUCCUGGCCAUCUGCUUCUGUAGAGAACACAUGAGGUCCCCAUGAGUUGGAAUCAACUCAAUGGCAACGGCUUUAGUUUUUGUUUUUUUAUAUGUUAAUAAAAGACAAGCUGGGACCCACAAAAUAGAUCAAAGUCUACUCUAGACAAGAUGUGUUAGAAAAAGCUUUUCUGAGAAUGUGUAGCUUCAUCCAGGCUCUACACAAGAUUUGGCAGCAAUUUGACUGAAAGGAGACAGAAGAGGACCCCCGGUGAUAAAGCUGGCGGGAGCAAAAGCUCAGGCUGUAUCUUCCCCCUUGUGGAUCUUCAGAAGAGUCACAUGUGUUCUGUUUGGCUGUGUGUGUAUUGUAUCCCAUAGAGGCAGAGAGUCUGGCUUACUUAAUGGAAUUCUCUCCAACCUUCUGAUAAUCCCACCCCAACUUUCCCACGAGAGUGUCUCCUCUUUUAGAGACUUUCCCCUGACACACUCAGCAAUGUGUGUCCCUCUCCCACGCAGACAUUUGUUCGCCUGUUUGGGGAAGCCCGCAGCUAUGCACUGGAGGCGCAAGCUAGAGUCUUACUUUUUUUUUUUUCCUCCUAAAUUAAAAAAAAAAAUUUUUUUACUGUAGUUUACAAGAAGGUUUACAGAACAAGCUAGUUUCUCAUCCAAUGGUUAGUAUACACAUUGUUCUAUGACAUUGGUUAACAACCCCAUGACAUGUCAACACUCUCCCUUCUCGACCCUGAAUUCCAUAUUACCAGCUUUCCUGUCCCCUCCUGCCUUCCAGUCCCUGCCCCAGGGAUGGUGAGCCCCUUUAGUCUUGUUUUGUUCCAUGGAUCUGUUCAAUCUUUGGCUGAAAGGUGAACCUCAGGAGUGACCUUAUUACUAAGCUGAAAGGGUGUCCGGGGGCCAUACUCUCAGGGUUUCUCCAGUCUCUGUCAGGCCAGCAAGUCUGGUCUUUCUUUUUUGAGUUAGAAUUUUGUUCUACGUUUUUCUCUAGCUCUGUCCGGGACCCUCUAUUGUGAUCCCUGUCAGAGCAGUCAGUGGUGGUAGCCGGGCACCAUCUAGUUUUACCAGACUCAGUCUGGUGGAGGCUGUGGUAGAUGUGGUCCAUUAGUCUUUUGGACUAAUCCUUCCCUUGCAUCUUCAGUUUUCUUCACUCUUCCUUGCUUCUGGAGGGGUGAGACCAGUGGCGUAACCUAGGUGGCUGCUCACAGGCUUUUAAGACCCCAGAUACUACUCACCAAAGUAGAACGUAGAAGGUAUUCUUUAUCAACUCUGUUACGCCAGUGGAGCCAGAUGUUCCCUGAGACAAUGGUACAAGUCUUACUUUUAAACGUGCAAAAUGGACUUUAGAUAAUGGUGCAGGUUUCUUGUUCUAAAGCUAAAGCAGAGAAUUUUCUGCCUAAACGAACAGGAUUCGUGAAGAUGAAUUCUCCAUUUAGUUGUAGUCCCACGCAGAUUGUAAGACUUAGUCCACCGUAAAGAAUGUAGGAAGCCUGGCGGAUGCUACUAUUUUUAUCUUGGCCCUUCGGCAUCCGGCUUCUAAUUAUUUAAUUCACAAGGUAUACUUUAUGUUGCGAUGUUUAUUUCAUCUGUGAAGAGAGCUCUUUUCGGUAUUUGUUACUGGCUGUGGGAUUUUUGUGGGAUUUUCACAUUUUAGCAAGUGACUAUUUUAGCAUGUUAACAUCGCUUUGGUAUAGCAAGAAGUGCUGUUGGUGGGGAUGAUGGACUUAUACAGCACCAGUUUCCUGAUGUUUCUGGAUAUAGGCUUUGAGACUCAGUAUACAUAUCUGAGGGGAUAACAGAGAAAUCAGCUCACACGGUGAAGGUGCUCAGAAUGAAAAGUAAGAGCCAGGUAGACUUUUAGAAAGUUACUGGUUUUACUUUUACCAAGUUGCUUAUGAAAUAAAGAGGUGGUUCUUGAGGAGUGCAGCUCCUUGGUGAAACAAUGAUGUAUUUGUCAAAAACAAUAAAUAAAAAAAAGUGUUUUAUUUUAUAGUGUGAUUCAUAGUAUGGCAGUCCUCUCUAAUAAUAGCGGGUGCUUACGGAGAAAUUGUGUUAUUUAAUCUCUGAGGUAACCUCAGUGACAACAAGCUUUCCCUUCAAAUGCUUCGUUUACCUGAUAUUAUUGGCGAGUGAAGUUCUCCCAAAAGAAAAUCCAUUAGAAACAAGAAGAUCUUUUAGUUCUGGUUAUCAGAAGUGCACAACUUGCUGCCAUUGACUCGGUCAUUCAUUCAGCAAACAUGUACUAAACACUCUUUGUGCUUUGAGGUGCUCUUCUGGGGUCAACGAUUGUCACAGUGACAAGGCUGGCAAGAUUCUUGCUUUCAUGGAACUUACAUUCUAGAAGAGGAGACCAGACAAUAGAAAGGAAACAAAUAAAGGAACAAGAUUGUGUCAAAAAGCCCUACGUACUAGGAUGUAAAUACCAGAGUGGCAUGAUAGUCACUGGGUGGCUACUUCGGUCUGGAACAUCGGAGAAAUCUUCUCUGGGGAGGCAGCAUUUGAGCUGGACCUGGAGGAUGAGAAGAAGCCAGCCACGUCAAGAUUAGGGCAAAGCAUUCGUAGCAGAGGCUCUUGGGUAGAAAUCUACUUGGCCCUUUGAAUAAAUGCAUUUUGAAGUACAAUUUUUUAGUGUUUACUAAACAUAUUUUUAAAGUCCUUGAGCGGUGCAAAAAGUUAAGUGCUUGACCGUUAGCCCAAAGGUUGGCGGUUUGAACACACCCAGAAUUGCCUCAGGAGAUAGGCCUGGCAAUCUGCUUCUGAAAGGUCAUAGCCUUGAAAACGCUGCAUAAUUUAGUUGGGAUGCUGGUUGCCCUGAACCUGUCUGUUCUGAUGGUGCUACCAGAACAUUGCACAGUUGACAAAAGUACAAAUCAAAGAGAUGUGUAUGUGUGAGGCAAUGAAGAUAAAUGAUAUUUUAUUGUGAAAACAGUCUCUAGUCACUCUUUCAUAACUGAAAAUCCCCCUUUUCCACACCCGCUGGUCAAGCUUCUCUUCUAUUUAAUAUUUAAAAUAAAAUUGUUCAGAUUUCCUGGGGCCUUGGGACUUCCCCAGUGCCACAGGUUAUGAUAUGUCUUUUCACACCAUUAGGCUGGGGAAACCCCACACUGGGCAAAGGGCCAAUUUUAGCCUCAGUUUAGCUCAUUAAAGAGACUCAGAAUCUAAGGAGCUGCAGAGAGACAAUUAUAGGAAGGGGACAAAUAUAGGAAAACAGUACCUAAAGUUGGCUCUUUGGCUGAGAAAAAGGCAGCCUGGAAAUGGGAAGGGAUGUUAGUUCUCAUACAUGGAAGAGAAUUGCAUGGGUAAAAGUUUUUUGGACAAGAUGAGGCCAUUUUUUUAAAUGACCCAGAGACAAUAUAUGAGCUGUGAGAGAAAAUCUGUCUCAAAACCUCAUGCUCACACUUUACUGAGAACAAAACCAACUUGUAAUGUGCAAGAAAACCAAAACCCGUUGCCGCGAGUCGAUUCCAAUUCAUAGUAACCCUAUGGUACAGGAUAGGACUGCCCCAUAGAGUUUCCAAGGAGCGUGCCUGGUGGAUUUGAACCGCUGACCUUUUUUGGUUAGCAGCUGUAGCACUUAACAGCUUCGCCACCAGGGUUUCCAUACUGUGCAAGGGGCUCUUGGAAAUCAUCUAGUUUAUCCUCCCACCCAGCGGCAGGAUGACCAUCCAGCUUCCGUCUAGCCCUUGUGGUGCUGGAGCACCCGUUAUUCUGUGAGGCAACCAGCCCUAGAUGGGAUACCAUGGUUGGUCUGAAAGCUCUUCAUGUCAAGAUGAAAUCUGCCUUCCUCUAACCUUCAGCCAGAGUUCUUCCCUUUGACGUGUAGCAUGUCUUCUCUCCCUUUCUCAUGACUCAUUCCAAAUAUUGGAAAACGACCAACAGAUCCUAUUACUUCUCAGUUUUCUCUUUUGUUGUCGUUCCUUCAACUCUUCUGGCGUUUCUGGCUUUCACCAGACUGACUUAGUUUGUGGAGGUCCUUCAUAAAACACGGGGCUGGAAAUAGAAUAUACUCUUCUGGAUGGAGGCCUGAGCCCCUGGAGCUUAAGGGGAUAAUUACACUGUUAAUCUGGAUUAAGACUGUUGGCCUUUUUUGAUACCCACACUGGUCUGGUGGCUUAUAUUAAACUUGUGGUCAAAUAGGACUUAUUUGUUGUUGUUUCAUUUAUUUUAAUGUAGACAAUGUUGUUGGGAAGAAACAUCAUAAGGUUUAGUAAAGCAACAAGAAAGUUUUAUUGGGCAUAUAUUCAAAAAGGCAAAAGUGGGAAGUGGACAAGCAUGCUGCCAGAGCUAAUAUCUGCCCAAGUCCAGAGAAUAUUACAGAAUAAGCAAAGUGGGAAAACGGACAAGCACGCUGCCACAGCCAUGUCUGCCUGAGUCCAAGGAGAUAUUACAGAGUCAUCAGUAUAUAUUAGCAUUACAAACAGGUGAAACCAUUGCAAGCUUCACCUUUCCUCCAGCUGGGUCACAUUGUCUAUGCUCAAGGACAGGGAAUAAUGACCCGGAUAUUAUUUCCUAAAGCGACCGUUAUAAGCCAGCUUCCUCUUAUCCUAUAUCUGCAAUGAAAAAUUAUCUGUGUAAGUUAUGUAAUAUGUACAAUACGUUAACAUAUAUAAUGGUGAAAUCGAUUUUCCUUUUAGCAUUAUUGAUAAACAUGCUUUUGCUGCCUCCACUGCAGUCAUAAUCCAGAUGUUUCAGUGGGAGCCUUGUAGUGCCCCCCAGGGAACCUCCACCUCUUAAUUAGCACUCUCUUGAUAUAACUGUUAAACUACCCAACUAUUUUCUACUCUCCUGGCUGUUUCCAACACCCCCUAUGCAUUUUCUUCAUCUUCUCUGUAAGGAUAUUACUAGGUACUUCAUAAAGUUCUUUGCUGGAAUAAAGAUACACUAACUAUGGUAUUUCUCUGCUCUGUUAGUUUAUCGGAGUCCCUGGGUGGUUAACACACUUGGCUGCUAACUGAAAGGUUGGGGGUUUGAGUCCACACAGCGGCACCUCAGAAAAAAGGUCUGGCCAUCUACUUUUGAAAAAUCAGCCAUUGAAAACCCUAUGGAGCACAGCUCUACUCUGACACACAUGGGAUCGCAACGAGUCAGAAUCAACUCUGGCAACUGGAAUUAGUAUUAAAGGUAAAUUUGCCAUGACACUGUGGAUUCUAUUGGUCUCUUUCUGAAUCUGUUUUUCUCCUAGUGAUCAUCUCUUUAUUUUUUAAGCAUUUUAAGAAACAAGAUAUAACCUGAGUUAUUGUCUUGAUUUUCUCCUUAGACCCAGUUGUAACAGUAAGCAAGUCAGUUUCUCUCUUUUACUGUCCUUUUUUAUACAUAUAUAUAUUAAACUAUGGGCUUGAAUAUUUCUAACAUUCUAUAAUUUGGAGCCAUCUAUUAAACAGCCAAUUCCAGAUUUUUUCUAGAAUCAAUGUGAAGUUUCUAGACUCUACUUUCUCCUACUCCCAUCCUACACCCUCCCUUUGAAAUCAGGAUCUUUGACCUAACCUUAGUCUUUCUUCUUGAUUUCUUAAAUGUCACUGACUGUACUUCUCUGGUUACACCUGUAAUGUUCUCCUCCUUUUCUUUGGGGGUGUGUGUGUGUGUGUGUGUGUGUGUGUGGGGGAUAUAAUCUUUCACAUUUAAAUUAGUAAUUAUUCCCUUACUAAAUCUAUUUUAAACUUCACUGCCUUCUUAAUGGUAUCUACUCUAUCUUUUCCAGUUUGAAAAUCAUUCUUUUUUGGUGGAUAAAAUGAAUGUAAAACAGCACUAACCUAAUUUACUAGCUAACCUUAUCCACUGGAUUUUUCUUAAAAUGAUUGUUGGUUUCUUCAGUCAUUUCCCCAAAGCUCUUACUACCCCUCCCUUCCAACAAAAGAAAACUUUAAAUAACAAAGAUUGGCCACUGUUGAGGAUAUUCUAAUGAACUUCCAUAAGGCUCUGGAGGAAAUUGCAAAAGAGAAGUUCACAUAUUGUAAGCAGUAGCAGCAUCCUUUGAGUAAAUGUAGGCUUGCCAAGGUACCCACCUAGAAUCUUUCCUGGGUGGGAAAGUUUCACUGUAUUUGUCGAUGCUUUCCUCUGACUGCACAGAACUUCUUGAACAACAGUGUCUGAACAAUCUCUUAUUUGGUUCAGAAAAAAAUACUUAAUUGUUGUAAUAUUGGUACCUAGGAGCAUGGCCUGGUGGCGCAGUGAUUAAGAGCUCAGGCUGCUAACCAAAAGGUCAGAAGUUCUAAUCCACCAGCUACUUCUUGAAAAGGCUAUGGGGCAAUUCUGCUCUGCCCUAUAGGGCCACUAUGAUUCAGUCGACUCAAUGGCCACAGGUUUUUGGUUUUUAGGAGCAAGCCCCAUUUUCGUCACAUUUUCUGUUUCCAUCAGCCUUUUGGAUCUGAAGGUGGUGCUGAACAGAUCAGGCCUGAUUAGCUCCCUUGAUAAACUGUUCCUUCCAGACCUGCCUGAUAAUAAAUAUCUUCGACAAUCUCAUUUGCUCUCAAAUUUUUUGGUCUAAAAAACAGCUUUGAAAUGCAAAAAUAUGAAAUUGAAAGUUUCAGAAGUGCAUGGGAAACUAUGAAAUAAAGAUAAAAACAAAGUGCUUUGCUCCAUAUGGUUAGGAGUCCGGUCCUAAGACCUUCUCGUGCUAAGACCUCCUAAGGCUUAGUUAGUGUUGUUGUCAGCUGCUGUCAGGAUGACCCCGACUCAUGGUGAUCCCGUGUACAACAGAAUGAGCUGCUGUUGGGUCCUGCUCCAUCCCCGUGAUGGGCUGGGGAUCAGACCAUUGUGAUCCAUAGGGUUUUCAUUGGCUGAUUUUUGGAAGUAAGAUUGCCAGGCUUUUCCUUCUGCCAGGCUUUAGUCUGGAAGCUCUGCUGAAACUGUUCAGCAUCAUUGCAAGACACAAGUCUCCACUGACAGACUUGUGGUGGCUUAUAUAGGUGCACUGGCCAAGAAUGGUCUCUUGCAUGGAAGGUGAGAAUUCUACUGUUGAACCACUACUGUCUUAAGGCUUAGUCUUAAGGCUUAGUCGGCAUGAUAAAUUUGAGACAGACAUUUGCAGUGUAUUUUUCCUGUGUCAAGGUAGAAAGUAUUUAUUUAGAAACCUUUUAGGGCACUUUCAUGCAAGAGGGAAUAAAUGAGGGAGCAUUGUAAAACAGCCCUGACACGUGGUUCAGAGCAGUCAUCGGAAUCUGUUGCAAGCUCCCUGCCCACCAGGGGCAUUGUCUGAGUCUAGGAAUCCUGAGUAUUAAGAAUGACACACAAUUUUCUUUUAUAAGGUUUUCUUCCGUAACAAGCAUACCACUGUGCAUGACAACUUUAUUUCUGGGGGGGGAAAAAAAGCGUGUGUCAGUUGACAUUUAUCCACAUUUUAAAUCUUUUUCUAUGUAAAGAUAAUUUAUGAUAAAUCUUGACUAGAGCCAAGUACAAAUUUUCAAUUUAUAAUACAUCUGUAUCUGUAUUUAUUUUUGUGUGUUCAUAGCUUUUUCCUCUCUCCAUGUAAUCUGUGCACACAAGAUAUGUUAUAUCUUAGUUUAUCUUAUAAAAACUCGAUUUUUAUACUAAGUAUAAAAGCCCAAAAUGUAGCAAUUUUUUUUUUUUAAGACAAACCUCUUUUUUUUCUAUCAGACUAUUUCAUUAUUUUCAUAGAUCUUCCCCUCUAAGCCUCUGACACCGUAUGCCUGUGACUUCAUGAGCAGUGUACCUGGCCCCUCUUACGGUUAAUGAGACACGUCAGGUUGGGCGGGUUGUGGGUGGUUGAGGGGAAAUAGAGAACCUUUAAGUGGUGAACCUGAAGAGCCUCAGAGCUUCUUUUACCACAAAUGAGGUUGAAUUUCUGACCAUGUGGACUUCAGAAUAUCUGGCUCUGUUAACCUGAUGUGGCAGCGUGGAGUAGGGUGGCAAGCCACGUUGAGUUGUCAAGGAACAGCGUAGUGCUCUAGAGAAUACUGAGAACUGAUAAGUGCUGGAUGCUGCUGCUGGUGAAAUAAAUUUAUGAAGGAGAAUUUAGAGCCUGGAGCAUAUGCUAAUAGGAAUGGUACCAUGUCAGUGAGGACGCUUUAGGCUCACAGGAAACAAAUUAUAAGUCUCUCAAAUAAAAAGGAAUUUAUUACCUUAAAUAAUAAGAAGCCAGAGGGAGGACAGUCUUAGGGCUGGUUAAUUCAGUGGUUCAACAGAGGCAUCAAGGACCCAGUUCUGGUUUUGUUAUUCUCAGCACGUUGGUUUUUUUCCUAGUUUAUCUUUUCAUGGUUGCAAAGUGGCUGCAGGCAUCCCGUCCUCAGAUACUUUCUGUGAGAGGAAGACAAGGACAGUUUCUCCAUUUACUCUUUUUAUCAAGGAGGAAAACUGUUCCUAGAAGGGCGUCAACAGACCUUGUCUCAUGAAUUUUUGGUCACAGUUAUAUCGCAUGCUUAUUCCUAAACCCAUUACUGAUUUGAGUAAUAGAAUUAGUAUGACUAAAUUAGAUUAAUUAAGACUCACCUUAUGGAGCUAUAAAGGCACCCCUUUACUGAGCAUAUGGGCAUUGGAAGGGUGAAAAAAAAUUGAGGUUCUGUAAACAAGGAGGAACGGGGACGAAUGAUUGCAAGGUAGCAACCAGUGCUAUCGGCUGUGUGUUUGAACAGCACAUCUCUUAUUUAAUAAAAUGACCCUAUGGCCCUGGAAGAGAAAGGAUGAUUAGGUUUAUGUAAUACCACCCUUGCAAACAGGAUAGACAUACCCUGCUUGAAAAACAGGAGCUGUGUUUUUGUUUCUUUGUGAUAAAAAAAACUCACCCUAGUGCCAGUGAUAGCAAAAAGAAAAUCUUAGGUUUUUCGUCAAGAUAAAAAAAUGAAAACUAGGAAAUGUUGCAGACACUAUGAAAUAACUACUCAGCUGCAUUUUCAUACCCUUCACCCCUUUAUCCUUGCUCAUAGAGUCUUGAUUUCUUCUGGUGGCAUUGUGCUGACUGCUAUGGGCUGGAUUAUGAUUGAUCUAAGUGUAUCAUAGCAGUCUUAUUCUCACAUACAAAUAUUUCCAGCUUUCCUUGCUGUUAGUGGUGGCUUAUGAUACAGUCCUGGCCAAUAAGUGGAAAUCCUCUGAUGGGGAGGGGCUUCUUGGAAAACUUUUGUUUUCUUGAUAAAAGGGACAGUGUUAGAAGAGAGCUUACUGGUACUAGCUCUCACUUCCUCCUGCCGUGAAUGUGAUGCUGGGUGCUAUAGCAGCCUUCUUGACAACAUGAAGCAGUAAUCAUGGAGACAAAAAGAAAACAUGUUAUGGAUGGCAGAACAGAAAUAUAGAACUACCCUGAGUCACAAGACCAAACCUGGAGCAACCUACUUUCAGAUUUCUGGUUAUGUGAGAUACCAUAACUGAAUGGCCUUAUUGUUUAAAUCACUGUGAUUGGGGAUUUCAUUACCUGCAACUUGAUGCACAAACUGGUACAAAAACAAACAUCUCAGUAGAUGGUACAGCUAUACUGGCACCUCUUUUCCCAUCACAUUUCAGUUGUACUUUGACCCUGGGUUCAGAGAGGCUGAGUAACUUGCUGAUUGUUGAAAUGGAGCCCUUCAAUUCCAUCUCACUCCAAUUAGCCUGUUCUUAUACACUCUCAGCAUUUCAGGAUCUUCUUGAUUUUUCUACUCCUUUUCUAUACCUACUCAUGUUUUCUUUUCCAACUAGAUUGGAAGUUCCUUCAACACAGAGGCUGGGCCUUUUACUCGUCCAGUGUCCAUUACUGUACUGGCCAUAGAGAAGACUCUCAAUGGCUGGGAAGUGAAUGACACACCAUGGCAUCUCUUUUUAUCCAAGAUGGCAGGAAGGUAGGUAAGCAAAUGGCUUGUCUUAAGAAGGUGCAAACUCACUAUCUUUUUGGCCUUGAAGUUGGAAAAUAGAAACCAUAUCACAUCCUAUGCAGAUUUCUUCGUUCCAUCACUGAUCAUCAGGAGUGGACAUUAUUUGAAUAUUGAUUACAUAUAUUUCCAUUCUAUGUGAACAACUUAGAUGCAGAAUUGGGUGGUAUCCUUUAAUGGUUUGCUUGAGACAAUACAUUUUAGGAAAGCAUCUCCAUGCGUUUGAGGGACAGCCGGAAAACGCCGAAGAAGGGAACUUCACAGCUUCAAGUCUCUGACGGACACUUUACUUUUGGAGGCGGUUGGAUUGCCACAACUUCAAAAUUCCCUCGCAUGAGUUUGUCAGUUUCAGGGGAUUUUGAUUAUGAUUCAGUGAAGGGGAACAUUCAGUUGAAAUAAGAAGCUCCUGGCCUCUCUCUGUUUUUCCCCAUAGCCAGGAUGGCGCCUUGGGUGUGUUAUCAUCCAACCUCAACUUUGCACAUGUCCCAGCUUAUGGCACCUGGCUUUCCGUGGCUCACCUCGUCUUGCAAAGCCUCUGCUGCUAUUUCUUUCUUUCCAAGCACAAGUGCCUUUUGUGGCCCAAGAUAUAACUUCCAGUACAGUGCUUUGUGCCGAUAGCUGUGGGUUUUCUUUAAGGUAACUGUGGGUGGCCACGCCAUUUAUUUUCUUGCUUCCUUUUUGUUUCUGUCAAUUCUGCCCUCCACUUUCCCCCGAAGCACAUGCUGUCCAUGUAAUCUGAAUGGCCAUUUAGAGGAAAGAUCAGAAGUUUGUUGUUUCAUUACCAAUAUAAAUCAAAACUUUGUGUUCACACUGCAAUCCGAGUGAGUCCAGGAAUAGCUUUGGGAUUGCUAAGUGUCUGGGGAGCAGUGACUACACAGACAUGUUUUGAAGCCGGCUAUAAUAGUUUCUACAGCUGUUAACAGUUUGUAGAAGAAUGGCAGUAUUAUCUAUCAGCGUUUAAAAUGUGCAUGACUAGCAUUGCACAGAAGUCAGAUCGGGAUAGAAUCAGAUUUUUUUUUUCUUUCUGAAACUCAGCCAGGAAAGUCUUCAAUAACUAGAGAAAUUCUUUUCACUACUGAAAUCAACAUGAAGGACAUUGUGUUAUUAUAAUUGCUUAUAGCUCACCAUGAAAGUUGUCUUUGUAUGAGUGGAUGUACGGGCUGUACUGUUUUGUUUUUAUUUAUUCGGCAUUCUUUAUUCUAAUGUCCUUUCCUUUUUCCUGACCAGAAAGAUUGUUAUUGAGCCCUUCACAAAGCUGAAAUAAUGCAGUGUGUUAAGAAAAAUGUUAACAAUCUGAAGAAGUUAUAAAAAUUUAUAAGUUGGCUGAAUGCUUGGGAAAUUUCUGCAUAUUUUAAUAUAAAUAGGUGAAGUUGUGAUACCCUGGAGACCAAAGCCCACAUCUGGGAUACCCAGCAUUCCAGACAACUUGGCAGUGAGCACCUUCUCGGGGUUGGCACUUUGUCUCCUUGCCACCUGUUGAUGCCAACACUUUCUGCCCAGGAGAGAACCUAGCCCUAAGCCACUGUGUAAGAUGCCGGAGGUCACCAUGCUGCGAGGAAGCCCAGGCCACGUGGAGAGAUGUCAUGUAGACCUUCUGGAUGACAACCAGCAUCAACUACCAGAAAUGUGUCAAAUGGUUCAAAAGGCUCUGAAGGCAUCUGUGUGAUCUUUGAGGACCCAGUAACCUGAGAGCAGAGAGGGAUGCGGACAUUUCAGCUAUGGAUGCCAUGGUGAUCCCUUCUCCAGUUUUCUGCAUCUUGCUAAAUGCCACCAGGAGGCUGAACCUAUGAACUGUCUCAAUGGACAACUUUGCUCUCAUCUUGGAAGGUUGGAGGUGAAUGAGGUGAGGGUGUUGAUUCGCCUGGCUCCUUUCCUGCCAGAUCACCAUAACUUGACUGUGUCCUUCUAUAAGACACCACAGCUCCCAUCAAGCAUCUUCUCCAAAUAACUGUCGUCUCUGGCUCCAGUAAGUGUUCCUUUCCCUUGCUCCCCGCUUACACCGGAUAAUAAUGGCUCCCCACCCUUGCUUGCCAUGGGGUAUGCAUUUAUCUUUUGUUGGUUUUCCUAAACAUUUUCCACACUUUCAUAAAUAGGCACUUUAUUAAAUAAACUCCUCUCAAUUACCAAGUUUGAGUAUGUCAUUUGCUUCCUGUUAGAGCCCUGACUGAUUUCCAUGGAUCAGGUAUUUAAAACAUCAUUAAUUUUCAUAUUAAUUCACAUUCACAAUACUAAAGAUGGAGAAAAAAUGAAUUCAAAGACAUCUCAUAUUUUGUUUUAUCAUGUAUUAUAAACAAAAAGCAAUAUUCAUUCUGUAAGGAAAUAUACUGGUUUUAAAAAUAAAUUGUAUUUUCUACUUAGUUAAUAUCCUUAGUCUCAGGUGUUAAACUCAAAGCCAAGUAAAUUAUUCACUAUUAAUUGCUAUUUCUUUUCAGGUACAGAUACAAGGGCAAAGAGCAUAAGCUUUGAUGUCAGAAAAAUCCGGUUUUGAAUCUGAGUUCUUUUAUUACUAUCUUGUGGUUAUGGGGCGAGUUAGUUAACUUCGCUGGACCUUAUCUAUAAUAUGGGAGUGAUAAUUUCUCCCCCACGUGGUGGCUGUGAAGAUUAAAUAAGAUAAUGUUUAUAACACACUAGUUUGUUGCCUGGUACUAAUUUUAUUAUUGAAAUGUGUAAGUGAUGCUUCAUUCAUAGUGACCCUAUAGGACAAAGUAGAACUGCCCCAUAGGGUUUCCGAGGAGCAGCUGGCAGAUUUGAACUGCUGACCUUCUGGUUAGCAGCCGAACGCUUAUCCACUCUGCCACCAGGGCCUCACUGUAGGAUCAUUAUGCACUGGAAUAGACUCUAAGGCACUGGGUUAGGUUUUUGUUUGCUGAAGUGACGCAUAUGGUACAUCGAUUUGAAUGUGUCCAACAAUUAGCCUUGAGAUCUAGAGCAGCGCCUUCCAAUAGAACUUGCUGUGAUGAUUGAACUGUUCUGAGUUUGUGCUGUCCCAUAUAUGGCUAUUGAAUACUUGAAAUGUGACUAAAGUGCAACUGAGGAGCUGAAUUUUUUAUUUCAUUUAAUUCUAAUUAAUUUAAAUUGAAUAUCUCAUAGCUAUCAUAUUGGACAGCACAGGUCUAAAGAGUAACCAUAAACAUAACAAGUCAUCUUGAAAGAUCAGCAGUACCUUUUGGACCUGUGAACAUAAAAGCCAUCAGUAGGUUACAGUCACAAGUGUCAACAUAAUCUAUUCACACUUCCAGAAAAUGAUAGAAUAUAUGCAAUACUCAUGGAAAAAAAUGUUUUUGUACUAUUAACAGUAGAUAGGUUGAGGUUGCACACACGCACACACACAUAUAUACAUGUACUUAAAGGAACUAUUUUGGAUAAAUUUAUUUUUAUCCAGAUAAUCUGGAUAAUUACUGCAAUUCCUCCUUUUUCUUUGGUUUACUUAGAUAUUAGUAUGAAGACUUCUCUCCCUUUUGCCCUUCUGAAGUCCACAGCAGACAUUGCUUAUCCAAUAGAGUCCCCAUUCCUCCUGAGCCCCUCAUAGCCUCACAAUUCUCAAUAUAACUUUGCAGUCAGCUUCUACCCACUAAUUGGAAUUGGCAUAUGAGAUAAAAUCCAUUUAUUACCCUGGGAUGUAGACACAUUAUGUUAAAGGAGUAAUUGAGUAACAGGAAGGAAAAAAAAAAACCAACCAAAGAACAGGUUAUGCAAUAAAAAGGUAAAUAAAUACAUUUUGAGUUUUAGAACUAGAGAAGGCUUAACAAGAUAUCUUUUUCUUGGACUUGAAUACCUUGAAUGUAUACCAGUGUACCAUGUCUGCUGCUGUGUAUCUUCUGAUUACCCUGUAGAUCUAGUCUCCACUCUUCUCUACCCUGCUCUGUGCCCUGGGAGGUUAACCUAUCAGACUGCAUCACUGGGCUUAGUUGCCCUAUUGGAAUUGACCAGCUGGAGGCACCAGCAGAGAUCUGGUGAGUAUAUAAGAAUGAAAUUAGGGGUAUUGACUCACUUCCCUUGGGCAAUGUGGACUGCCUGGGCCCCUGUACCGCAGGUCAUAGCUACUGCCUCUGUUAGGGACCCUCUCCUCACUAUUCUCUCUCUAGUUAAAACCCUCUCCUUUCCCUUUCCUCUUCAGGCCUAGAAAUAGCAAGGGAGGCACUGCUGUUAUCAGCUGCUCAAAUCCUUGUGGUUUCCCUACACCCUGACCACUUCUCUGAAAAGAAUCUCUUUCUUAUAAACUCUCUUCAUAUUACACAAUUUGAGUGUGCCACUGUUGUCUGCUGGGACCUUGCCUGAUAGAUCUCUGAAACAGGAUUUGGAUGCCCUCACUCUGGGCCUUUGUUCCUAGAGGCAGUUGCUAUAGGGAUGAUCUAGCCUUGCUUUUCAAAGCAGUUGUUUAAUCUCACUGCCUUACCAGACACCACUCAGACCCCUCAGGGUGAGUCAUUCUGUUUGUGUGGGUGAGGUUAGUAAACUCCCCAAAGUGUAAGAAAGAUCGUCUUGAUAAUGGUGACAAAGAAUUUUCUCAAAAGUCCAAGUGCAUUAACCCAAAAACCCAGGCCCAAAUAAAAUAAACAACUAGAAAAGAAAAGAAAAAAAAAAAAAAAAACAGGAAAGAAAAAGAAAAAACCAGAUCUCUGCAUUUAGAUGCCUUGGCCAGUAACCCACAACUCAGCCAGUCCUUUCUUGGCAGCAUGUGGUCAGAGCAAUAUACACAGUUAAGAAAUUUCCCUUCUGAGCCCGUUCAUCCUGUAGUUUGGUGUGGAUGAGAUCAAUUCCAAGUAAUACCUGGAAGCUGAGGUGUUAUGUAUGUAGAAGAAUUAGUAGAAGAGUUUUUGAAGAAUCAGAUUAGGACAUUAAUUUUCUUCUGCCCCAAAGACUGUUAAAAAUGGUUCUUGGCAGAACUCACUUCCUAUAUUUUGGCCACAAGCAGAAAAGGACUGGCUCUCUCUGUCAUGAAAUGAUAGAUGGCUACCUAUCUGGUGGUUGCCUAUCUGGUGUCAUGCUUGUAAACGUGCUAAAAGCCCUUCCUCUCCCAAACCAAAAAACAACCACGAGUCGAUUGCCGUCAAGUCGAUUCCGACUCAUAGUGACCGUAUAGGUCAGAGUAGAACUGCCCCAUAGUUUCCAAGGAGCACCUGGUGGAUUCGAACUGCCAGCAUUUUGGUUAGCAGACAUAGCUCUUAACCACUACGCCACCAGGGUUUCCGUUCCUCUCCCAGACCCUGAAAUAUCUUUCUUCCCAGAAGUUCCUUCAGAAUUUCAGAAAUUGCCAUUAUGAACAUUAUACCUUAAGUAUAUUAGAGUGGUCUAUUUUACCUAGGUUAAGGCGUUGUGUUGGGGGCAGGGAGGGCAUUACAUAUCAGCUAGUUGACCUCUUGGUAGGAUUAAGUAUAUAUGGUUUAACCUAUUACCACCUAGUCUCACGUGCCUAGAGAAUGGGGAACUUGGAGUCCUGAUUUAGAAGGAGGUGAGCAAAGGUGUGAGGCAUCCAGAAUCGCUCAGGGGUGGUAGACUUGUUAGGAACAGCCUAGCGGAGCCGUUAGGUGAUAGCAGGAAGUAUGGAAUGACUGUGCCUGUGUGUGAUUGACACUGUCAUCAAAAAUAAGUUUUGCUGAAAUAUGACAAUACCAUUUAUGUAAAGUGCUCAGGUCCAAGCUUAAUAAAUAUAUUUCCUUUCCACUCAAAAUGUGGUUGAUAGCUGUCCCGGAUAGGAGGUUGUCAAGGAUACCUAAGGAUGUGUCUGAUCGGGAAGAGCUACACCAUUAUGAUCAAUCGGGAGCCAAAGUGGUUUUCAUCUGUCAGGCUGACUCUGAUUAAUUUGUAGUGCCUGAUGCUGAAAAGGGGUACCAGGCAGCAUCCAGCCUCGAUGGAUAAGAAUGACAUUAUUGAUUAACAAUGCCUGCCAUGGGCUUGGAGGUAGAGAGAUGUGACAUGCGUGCCAGAUAUUUGGCAGGCCUAGCAAGGGGCCUUUCUCUGUCUUAGUCCAUAAUCAAAAUGUCAUUUCUGGGUAUUCAGGGGCCCCAGAUUUGCUUCAGGACUCCCUAGUGCUGUCACUGGAUCAGUUUACAAGGAGUAUAUGCGUAAAACUUGUCAUUUCUUCCUAUAAUUAUAAUUUGUAUAAGAUGUGGGUUGAUGAAUUAGGAAUCUAGGCUGAGGUCUAAUGGACCAGAAGACUUUGCCUCCAAAAGCAGUGCCUUUGCUUCAGAAACAAAAACAAAAAUUUUUUCUCAUUUCAUACCUCUAAAUUAGGUCAGGAGUCCCUGGGUGGUGCAAGGUAUUAAUGCACUUAGCUGCUAACCAGAAAGUUGGAGGUUCAAGUCCACCCAGGGGCACUGCCAAGAAAGGCCUGGUGAUCUACUGAAAACUCAGCCACUGAAAAUUCUGCAGAGCAUAAUUCUACUCUGACACACACAGGGUGCCCUUAGUUGGAGUUGACUCCAUGGUAACUGGUUUUU